AGGACGAACGCUGGCGGCGUGCCUAACACAUGCAAGUCGAGCGGGGACUUUGCGACUGAAUUGAAGACUCGGUUGAAUAUGAAGAUGUAAAGUUCUAGCGGCGACGGGUGAGUAACGCGUGAGCAACCUGUCCCUUACAGGGGGAUAACACAGCGAAAGUUGUACUAAUACCGCAUGAGACCACAGAGUGACAUCACUCAGGGGUCAAAGGAGCAAUCCGGUAAGGGGUGGGCUCGCGUCCGAUUAGAUAGUUGGUGAGGUAACGGCCCACCAAGUCGACGAUCGGUAGCCGACCUGAGAGGGUGAUCGGCCACAUUGGGACUGAGACACGGCCCAAACUCCUACGGGAGGCAGCAGUGGGGAAUAUUGGGCAAAUGGGGGAAACCCUGACCCAGCAACGCCGCGUGAGGGAAGAAGGUUUUCGGAUCGUAAACCUCUGUCCUUGGUGAAGAGGAAGAGACGGUAGCCAAGGAGGAAGCCCCGGCUAACUACGUGCCAGCCGCCGC
rnacentral:rRNA from 1 species